AUCCUUUUGUGGUUCAUAAGCAUGUUGAAUGGGUGUUCAUGCUCUUGUGUGAGAUGUGCCUCCCUCCAAUCUUGUUAUGACAUUGGCACAUUACCCACCGGACG
rnacentral:snoRNA from 1 species